rfam:Picea glauca, whole genome shotgun sequence.
CAUCAGGUCUCCAAGGUGAACAACCUCUGGUCAAUAGAACAAUGUAGGUAAGGGAAGUCGGCAAAACGGAUCCGUAACUUCGGGAAAACGAUUGGCUCCGAGGGCUGGGCCUAGGGGUCUGCAUCCUCAACCCGUGGGAUGUCCGCAGUCUACCCGAGCUGCUAUCGUGGCGAGGGCAGGUAGUCGCGUGCCGAUUGGGAUACGGACCGCGGGAGAAACCACCUAAGUGCGGGGAAUUCAGGGUUUCCAAGUCCGGACCAUGGGAGAAACCGCCCAAGUUCGGGGAAUUCGGGAUUUCCGAGUCUGGACCGCGGGAGGAUCCGCCCAAGUGCACGGAAUUUAGGGUUUCCGAGUCUAGACCGCGGGAGAAACCGCCCAAGUGCAGGGAAUUCAGGGUUUUUGAGUCUCGACGAGCGGAGAAACCGCCCAAGUGCGGGGAAUUCGGGGUUUCCGAGUCUCGACGAGUAGAGAAACCGACCAAGUGCAAGGAAUUCAGGGUUUCCAAGUCUCGACGAGAGGAGAAAUCGCCCAAGAGCGGUGAAUUCUGGGUUUCCGAGCCUCGAUGAGCGGAGAAACCGCCCAAGUGUAGGGAAUUCGCGGUUUCCAAGUCUCGACCAUGGGAGAAACCACCCAAUUGCAGGGAAUUCAGGCUUUGCAUUUGGAAAACCCCAAGUUUGCCUUGCGUUUGGGAGAAACCGACCCAAGGGUUUGCAUUCGAGAAACCCCAUGUUUGCCUUGCGUUCGGGAGAAACCGGCCCAAGUGCGGGGAAU